GAUUUUCCACAGAACUAGCCAGUCCAACCAGGUCAACUCAUUCCCGAGACAGCCCAGCGCUGUUGAAGAGGGUUUGAGGGCUCCUGCUGUGCCCUGUGUCUUCCAUCUUUAGGUCUUUCGUUGACUUUCAUGUGGGUUUGACCCCCCCCCCCCUGCUCCCCUGCCCCAAUCAACAGUGACUUGCAUUCAUUGACUUCUCCCUACCCGGCAAAAACAGAAAAAACAUCAGCUUUAAAUCCCCG
rnacentral:lncRNA from 1 species